rnacentral:rRNA from 1 species
GCGAGAGCCACGCCCAUUGGUCACCGCCCCGCACAAACCCUACCCUUUCCAGCGCUCCCAAAUUGAUGCAGCCGCCUCCCCUCUCCCUCCCUUCCUUCCCAAACGCGCCGGCCGCCUCCUCUCCACCUGCCGCCUCCCCUCUCCCUCCCUUCCUCCCCAAACGCGCCGGCCGCCUCCUCUCCACCUGCCAUACCGCGUCCCUGCUGGCGGUGGGAGGAUAUCCGGGGGAGCAGAGGAGGGGGUUGGAUGAGGGGUUAGGAGGUGCGAGGCGAGCAGGAGGUGGGGUUGCCGGAGGAGCACAGCCGCCAGAGCAGAGCAGAGGAGUUCGAUGCAGGGGCACAAUGGGAUUGUCGGAGAGCGCGCGGUAUCCUGCGAUACAUAUCCGCUCCCAAGCAAAGGAUGCAUCAGCGCUCGCUCCUCCUCUCCCCGACGCCACCGCUUUCCUGCGUCGUUGCUGUCGCCACGGCCUUGCUUGCCAUCGACCUCCCGGAGUGCUUCUCUCCACUGCAUUCCCCUUUGCACGAGUUCUUGCCUUCAAAGCUAAGAUGAAAUGGCUCUUCUCAUAUUUGCCUAUAAACUGUUUGAUGAAAUGCUUGUGUCGUAACGAGUUCUUUUUCUUCAGUUUGUUCUUCCUGCUGCUAAGUAUUAGUCCUCUUAUUGAUCUUGCCUGAUUUUCUCGUCGGUCUUGCAUUUGAAGCUCAGGGGUUGUGACUCUAUGAGGAUGUUGUUUAGUGUGAACUGCAACUUUUUUUGGUUGGUGGAGUUCCUCGAGCAUUGCUUAACUUGAAUGAUAAACUACUGAGCAAGUUGGCCUGAGAGCAGCGAGGUUACAGCUCCAGAUGGUUCUUGGUUGCAAUGGGGGGAGAUGCAGGGGAGGGUGAGGAGGCUAACGACAGGGUGAAGUAGCCCGGCGACGAGUGCAAGCAGCAUGAGGCAUUGUAUGGGAUUGAUCUAUCAUGCUGGGAUUAGUUGUAGACUUCCUUGCUGAACCAUACAGGGAGCAAUGCAUCCCCAGUUUGCUUCCAGAGAAGGAAGGGGAAGAGUUGAACCUGCUUGUUCUUCAUUGAUUCCUAAAUAAAUAUCUAAUCUGUAAUAUAUUUUUAUAUCUAUGCUCAGUUACAAUUACAACAUGGGGCUUCAAGUGUCUAUUACUGUGGAUCACCAAUAUUUUGUUAUAUCCGUGCAUUUUAGUUACGACUAAGUGCCACACCAAUGAAUGUGAAUGUCUGUUCAGGGUUUUCUUGUUGCUGCUAUUCCUCGUGGAUAUUCAAGAGGCAACUUGGCACCUAAUGUCAGCAACGUGCUUAUCGGUGACGAGGGAAAUGAAAGAAGGCUGCAAUGGAAUUUGUACUAGAUCAGAUUUUGGCCAUGUAGUUUCCGGUGACUGGAAGUCUAAAACUGAGGAUAGGACAGAUUGUUUUGAUUCCGAUUACUUGGAGAUCUUGUGGCUUGCUGUCCCUGGAUCAGUCAGACCUACGGCAGCAUCAACUCGUUGAUCCUAGAGGCCAUGGUUCUCGAGGUGAGUUGAGUUGCUACUUGGUUGGAGAUGUUGAUGUCGUUCGAGACGCCCGCUGGAUUCACCCUUUUCAAGGUUCUGAAUAAGGGCAAGCUCGACAAGGUCGAGUGGUACAGGUAUGAUCUUCAUGGAGCUAGCCAUCAUUGGAUUUGGUAAUACAUAAUCACUUAUUCAGAGAGCCCAAGGUGAGAAGGGAAGAGCAUCUAGAACACCACCACCUACUAAUCAGAGUUUCCUACCUUUCUUCUGCAAAUCUGGAAUGCCUUUAUGGCAUGAUCAUGUGAAAAAGUACCUUGAUGCAGUAAUGGAUUUGAUUAUCACUGGUUACUCUGUUUUCACGAAUUACUAUCCAACCAGCAUGGAAGAACCAAAAGGUAGUUGAUCAGCAGGAUGGCAAGAGGAAGACAAGAACCAAAUUAAAGUUUGUUGAUGUGCAUGUCUGUAUCUAUCAAGAUUCAGUGCUAUGUAGAAAUGUCCCUGAGAUUUGUUUCACUCAACGAGACCAAACAAUCAGGAACACAAGUAGGAUAGUUGAUGCUUUUUUCAUUUUUCUUCUGAUAAAAAGGAAUCUUCAUCUGCCAAGAAUACCGCCUACAAGCAUGUAUGCCUAAUUACCUAUAUGCUGAUUUAACAAGCUCACAUACAUGUCCAUUUUUGAAAAUAGUUUACCAUCCUCAAACAUAUAACUUGUGUGUUGUUGCUUUCCAUUAUAUUGAGAAAAACAUAAGUUUCAUUGGACCUUUUAUUCAUUCAGGAGCUCUAAAUGACACCGUUGUAUUGGCAACAUAUUCAGUCAUUUCGGAUCAUCUUUCAGAGUCAUUCUGGACUGUUCAUGCCAAAUUGUUGGUGUGUGCUGUAAAAAACUGAAAAAAAGGCAGUUCAUGUUUAUUUUUCUUCUGAAUUUUGUUCCCCUAUAAGAUGUGGCCUACUGUAUACUCUUGGCAUAAAUGAGUUGUGACAUUUGUUGUUGUCCACUAUUUUCUUUGCAAUUUCCCUGGUAUGUUGUCAACAAUUUGGCGUGAACAUUCCAGGUUUGUCAGAGACAAAUUCAUAAGGUUUGACAAUACAUGUUGGCC